rnacentral:lncRNA from 1 species
GACCUGGGGACUUCACUGCUCCUAGGAGGAAGCAAGAAUGCAGCAUGGGCUGCAGAGUACCAGACACCAAGGCAUGGAAGCAAUGGGAACAGUCAACUGUGGACAGAAGCUUCUAGAACCAUGAGAUGAGGGCGUACGACCAGAAGACACUGCAGAAGCUUCCUUCCUGUUGGCUGAAGAGAGAAGGCACUGCUGAGGAACGAGCCCUUCUUUUGACAGUACUGGGGAUAGAUCCAAGGUCGGGCACACAAGGCAAGUGCUCUCCCAUUGAGCUGCGGCCCCAGCAGGCAUUCUCAUUUUGCAUGGACUCUGCUAAUUACUGUGAGACAAUACCCUGCACUCUUGGAAAAGAAGCUAUAAUGAAAAGUGACCCAGUCAGAAGAGCCAUAUCCUCACCUCACAAAACAUGGGCAACUUUUUGGCGAAAUCCACCACUCUGGUGAUUGCUGGUGUGAUGAUUUUUGUAAAAUGGCUGAAGGCUUCCAGAUCAACCUUGCCACCUUCCGGGGCGUUCACAAUGGGUGCUUGUCCAAUGUCUUCAGGCUGAGGAGGAGAAAGUGAGAACAGUUUCAGCAAAGCUGAAAGAAACCCGUGUUUAUCACAGCUCUCGAAUGGCAGGGAAACAAGGCUGUCACUUCUGGUUGCCCCUGUGUGUUGACAAAGUAGAUAAUUUUCACCUCAAUUAUGUCUUUGAGC